ACGGAGGAUGCAAGCGUUAUCCGGAUUUAUUGGGUUUAAAGGGUGCGUAGGCGGAAUUGUAAGUCAGUGGUGAAAUCUUGCAGCUUAACUGUAAAAUUGCCAUUGAUACUGCUAUUCUUGAGUACAGUUGAGGUAGGCGGAAUGUGUAAUGUAGCGGUGAAAUGCUUAGAUAUUACACAGAACACCGAUUGCGUAGGCAGCUUACUAAGCUGUAACUGACGCUGAGGCACGAAAGCGUGGGGAUCGAACA
rnacentral:rRNA from 1 species